CCUAAAGCAUCCGUAGCCGGCUCUGUAAGUUUUCGGUUAAAUCUGUACGCUUAACGUACAGGCUGCCGGGAAUACUGCAAAGCUAGGGAGUGGGAGARGUAGACGGUACUCGGUAGGAAGUGGUAAAAUGCUUUGAUCUAUCGGAUGACCACCUGUGGCGAAGGCGGUCUACYAGAACACGUCCGACGGUGAGGGAUGAAAGCUGGGGGAGCAAACCGGAUUAGAUACCCGGGUAGUCCCAGCUGUAAACCUAUGCAAACUCAGUGAUGCAUUKGCUUGUGGCCAAUGCAGUGCUGCAGGGAAGCCGUUAAGUUUGCCCUAAAGCAUCCGUAGCCGGCUCUGUAAGUUUUCGGUUAAAUCUGUACGCUUAACGUACAGGCUGCCGGGAAUACUGCAAAGCUAGGGAGUGGGAGARGUAGACGGUACUCGGUAGGAAGUGGUAAAAUGCUUUGAUCUAUCGGAUGACCACCUGUGGCGAAGGCGGUCUACYAGAACACGUCCGACGGUGAGGGAUGAAAGCUGGGGGAGCAAACCGGAUUAGAUACCCGGGUAGUCCCAGCUGUAAACCUAUGCAAACUCAGUGAUGCAUUKGCUUGUGGCCAAUGCAGUGCUGCAGGGAAGCCGUUAAGUUUGC
rnacentral:rRNA from 1 species